rnacentral:lncRNA from 1 species
UUGCUUCUGCUGAAGUGUGGGUAGAAGCACAGACCAAUUUCUCAAUUCAUGCAAAACACAGAAAGUAAAACAUGGUGCGAUGGUCCCAUUUUAUUUAGUGCAUGUCUCCAAUAUCCAGGACAAGCCCACCACUGAAAUCACACCUGCAUACAAUCCCAGUCUUCAGGGAGACUUCAUUUUUUUUUUUUCCAUUUUAAAGACUCAUUAGCCAAGAAGGAGCUUGACUAUGUGGAAAACUUGACCUAGCACUAUAAAGCCUCACUAAACUAGAUUCUUUAAUUACUACCAUAGAAUCAAACAUCAGACUC